UGCAUUAAAGUUUUCUAAGCGUAAUUAAAGUAAGAAAAAUAACCGUGGUUAUACUCCACCACAAAGGCUAAGAGUAAACGCACUGUAUUUAGAAAAAAGAACAUAAUAUCAUAAAAGUCGUAGAGUAAUAGUAACGCGCAUCAACCCACACCUACCAGAGACGUUACCACCACCACAACAAGGAUCCACAUCAAUACAAGCGAUUUAAUCAAUGUCGAGAUACAAUUGAAGCUCACUAUAGUUGACUAGCAGAGUGACAUAGGAUAUUUCAUUCAAGGACAUUCCAUAUGAAGCGUGAAAAUGAACAAAAUAAUAUCUUUAUCAGAUUUUUGGUCUCCCAAAUUUCUCCCUAAAUGUAUUUUAAAUAAAAUCGUAUGCAAAGGUACAGAGAAUCCAAUGGUUUGGACACACAAUGAGACUAGAGGAAACAAAUGAAGUUAGAGCAGCAAUUGAAUACAAACCAACAGGCAGAAGACCCAGAGGCAGACCCAAGAAACGAUGGAUAAAGUGCAACAAGAUCUUGAAAAGCUAGAAGUAACAGAUUGGGAGGAAAGGAUACAGGAUCAGAAAAAGAAAAAGAAAAAUCUUAUGUUUACCGGACAACGAUAUUUUCAGAAAGCUCUACAGUCUAUACAUAAUGGUAUCAGCAACUAACAAUAUCACCUCCACAAUCACAAUUUUGGGGCGUUUCUUUCAUACGUGGUCCCGGUACAAGAGCAGAAUGCCGCUUAGCACCCUUGUUGAACAUUAACCGACAACAUUUUCAUUUCUAUUAGACAUUGUACUAGGUACUAAAUCUUACGAUAUACAUAAUAUAUAGGUCAUAUAUUUUGUUUUCAACCCAAAGACUUUAUUUCAGACCACUACGUGCCGGAGUAGUGAUGUAGCUUGUAGGAUUCUAAAAUCGUAAAAUCGAUUUCAAACGUUGCCUAAGCGGUGGCGCGAAACUAUAAUAAAAAUAUGUGCAUGGCAAGACGUGAAAUACGGAAACCGAUAUCAUGAGUGUACGAAGAAAAUAACAAGCUUUUGGUGAAGGCGAAACAUCACGACCGAAGUUCAGCGAAACCAAAACGUUCAAACGAGCACAAAUGUACAAAUGUGUCAAAUUUUGUUUUGCCUAUUUUAUCUUGACCAAUGACGACUCGACGUAAAAGGUUGUGAAUAACUUGUGAUACAUGAGUUCGUAUUAAAAUUAUUUUUUUUUCGUUCUACUUUGAUAUUAUACAUAUACUUAUACGUAUAAGCUUAAACGUAUGCCUUAAAUAAUUGUCACAGACGGCGACUAUGUAUUAUUGUUAAUAAAAAAAUUGCCUUAAACGUCAACAUUAAAAUAUUUAUUAUUAUGUUUCUUGUUUAAUAUUUAAUUAUUCAAAUAAUGAGAAAAUAAAAUAUAAUGCAUCUGUAUAUACGUCUGAGGUCUAACAGACGUAUACAAAAUAUCAUGACCAGAUUACCAAUAGGGACUAAGCAUCAUAAAGCAUCAUAAAACAUUCAACACAAGGCUUUCGAAUUAUUUGUGACUUACCUUGUCAAAAGUUAAAAGUAUACUUGAGAGUAAUUUUUAAACAAAAAUAAAUAAAUCAAAACGGAAGUUUAAUAUAGU